GGGACAGGACGGACCUGGCACACAGCGCUGCUCCUUUGCCACCGUAUGGUGAUGGGCCACGAGGGCAGAAGUCACCGAGACCGAUGGUGGCUCCCUGGGAACCGCAGUAAUCUCAUUCCGGGAGCAAAUCACAUUCCCAGCAGCCAAGGACAUGUUAGGUCUUAAUAAAAAUGGUAAUUCCCGGCAGAUUGAUUUGGGAGCAGGGAGAGUGCUGCUUGCUUCCCAUCGCUGCUGCCCGGGGCUUGGAGGUGGUGCUGGGGGUGAUGGGCAGCAGCGUGGCACAGCGCUGGGUUUUGGGGUUAUCCAGCAUGGGCUGGGGGUUGGUACUGCUGUUACAGAGCUCCCACUCCUCUCAUCCUGCAGGACCCGGCUGCUGUGCCCUGUCUCGAUGUGCACCCGAACGGCCCCAGGGGUCAGAGCUGUUUGUUUGCAGUUUCCUAGGAGAGAAAUCACGUUUAGGAAAAAAAAAAAAAAAAAAGUAGAAAUUAAUCACACACCUGAAAACAAAAUCUGCCUGCUCAAGUGCACAUCGGGGAUAAAUGGUGUGCUCCAAAUUAGACAAUUUACAGCUUGGAAUCACUGAGAACGUGGGAUUCCUCUUCCUGCACUUUGAUCUCUCCAAUUUUCAGCUCAUUCUGGCUGCCUUAUAGGCACUAAUCCCUCUGCAGGCAUCGGAGAGAAUCCACCUACACUUCAUGCAGCAAUCACUUAAGUCUUAUUGUGUAAAUAAAAUCUCAAACACGAAAU
rnacentral:lncRNA from 1 species